ensembl:lncRNA
AUGCUGAAGAUGUCUCUGAGACUCCCCCGGGGCCUUCAAAUAAGCACCAGCGGGAGAUCAUUUGUUUAUGCAUCUCAACAGGUCCAAGGCCAGCGGUUUAACAUACGCUUCUGGCAUGUGUGUGCUGAGAUGCUGGACCAGAGGAGGACAGACAUGCUGUCUCUCCACUACUCACAGUUUGCAUUUAUGCUGUCAAUGUACCAGACCAGGCAAUCUGAACAAGUUUUUCUGAAAACAGUGUAUCCGGAGUGUAAAAGGGAUCAACAAGUAUAUGGACAAAUCCACAACAAUGUUAGCCAUGCCCAGCAAAUCUGCAUUCAUGCUCUCAACAUACCAGACUGGCCCUGUGGCGAUUGUAACUGAGAACAGAAUGUUCCUGCUACACGGAUUAGUCGACUUGACAAUUUCAGGGAAUGAAAUCCACAACAAUGUUAGCCAUGCCCAGCAAAUCUGCAUUCAUGCUCUCAACACACCAGACUGGCCCUGUGGCGAUUGUAACUGAGAACAGAAUGUUCCUGCUACACGGAUUAGUCGACUUGACAAUUUCAGGGAAUGCCAUUUUAACCACAAAAUAAUAUUAAUCGUCUUUACUCCACUCCUCUCUGUAUUUCCUCAGCUCUUUUACUUCCUUCUGUAACUGAGUUUUCUCCUGCUCCAAGCAUUGCAUUCUGUGUUGUGCUUGUCCAGCUCCCUUAGAAGAAAGUCUACUUGAAGAGCCAUUUCAUCAUCUACAUUUUCAAAAUCAUUUGUUGUUGAUUUGUGUGUGUGAUUAUUUCUGCAGUGUUACUCAUCUUGCAUUUCACAUCAGUAACGCUCUGUUCCCUUCCUUUAGCAUCAUUCUCAAUCAAGCCACAGCCCAGAUAGGAGCGUCUCCGUGGAGAGACAGGUGAUGUGUGUGUGUGUGUGUGUGUUUUAUAUAUAUAGAUAUGAUCUGAAG